AUUGAACGCUGGCGGCAUGCUUUACACAUGCAAGUCGAACGGUAACAGGUUAAGCUGACGAGUGGCGAACGGGUGAGUAAUGCAUCGGAACGUGCCCGGUCGUGGGGGAUAACGCAGCGAAAGUUGCGCUAAUACCGCAUACGAUCUGAGGAUGAAAGCGGGGGACCGUAAGGCCUCGCGCGAUCGGAGCGGCCGAUGUCAGAUUAGGUAGUUGGUGGGGUAAAGGCUCACCAAGACAACGAUCUGUAGCUGGUCUGAGAGGACGACCAGCCACACUGGGACUGAGACACGGCCCAGACUCCUACGGGAGGCAGCAGUGGGGAAUUUUGGACAAUGGGCGAAAGCCUGAUCCAGCAAUGCCGCGUGCAGGAAGAAGGCCUUCGGGUUGUAAACUGCUUUUGUACGGAGCGAAAAGGUCUCCUCUAAUACAGGGGGCUCAUGACGGUAUCGUAAGAAUAAGCACCGGCUAACUACGUGCCAGCCGCCGCAGUAA
rnacentral:rRNA from 1 species